rnacentral:rRNA from 1 species
CUUGGCGUCCUCGAGAAUCUCCGCGUACAUGGUUGCAUACGAACGGUCCGGCACCAUGGCGAUGCAGUCCUGAAGCUGGUCGUCGUUGUUCCACAUCCUCCCGCCGUCACGAAUGACGUUGGGCAUCGAGGCAUCGACGAUGACGUUGUUGGGUACGUGGAGG